rfam:Treponema sp. JC4 contig00027, whole genome shotgun sequence.
GGCGACCUAGCUCAGUUGGUAGAGCACACGGCUCAUAUCCGUGAUGUCAAUGGUUCAAUCCCAUUGGUCGCUA